rnacentral:rRNA from 1 species
GGACUACCCGGGUUUCUAAUCCUGUUUGCUCCCCACGCUUUCGUGCCUCAGCGUCAAUCAAGGCCCAGCAAGCUGCCUUCGCAAUCGGUGUUCUAUGGCAUAUCUAAGCAUUUCACCGCUACAUGCCACAUUCCGCCUACCUCAACCUGAUUCAAGUCAAACAGUAUCAAUCGCAGUUCCGCCGGUUAAGCCGGGGUAUUUCACAACUGACUUAUCUGACCGCCUACGCACCCUUUAAACCCAGUGAUUCCGGAUAACGCUUGCACCCUCCGUAUUACCGCGGCUGCUGGCAC